rnacentral:rRNA from 1 species
GAUGAACGCUAGCGGCAGGCUUAAUACAUGCAAGUCGAGGGGCAGCAGCUUUGUAGCAAUACAGGGGCUGGCGACCGGCAAACGGGUGCGGAACACGUACGCAACCUUCCUUUAACUGGAAGAUAGCCCACCGAAAGGUGGAUUAAUACUCCAUAACAUAUUGAAGAGGCAUCUCUUUGAUAUUAAAGCUCCGGCGGUUAAAGAUGGGCGUGCGUCUGAUUAGGUAGUUGGCGGGGUAACGGCCCACCAAGCCUUCGAUCAGUGGCUGAUGUGAGAGCAUGAUCAGCCACACGGGCACUGAGACACGGGCCCGACUCCUACGGGAGGCAGCAGUAAGGAAUAUUGGUCAAUGGACGCAAGUCUGAACCAGCCAUGCCGCGUGGAGGAUGAAGGCCCUCUGGGUUGUAAACUUCUUUUCUUUGGGACGAAACCCCUGUUUCUACGGGGACUGACGGUACCAGAGGAAUAAGCACCGGCUAACUCCGUGCCAGCCGCCGCGGUAACAC